rnacentral:tRNA from 1 species
AGUGGAGUAAGCUAAAGUAAGCUGUUGGGUUCAUACCCCAAAUAUGACCUAUGCGUGUGUCCUCCACUA